GGGGAAUUUUCCGCAAUGGGCGAAAGCCUGACGGAGCAAUACCGCGUGAGGGAAGACUGCCUAUGGGUUGUAAACCUCUUUUUUCAGGGAGGAAUCAAUGACGUGUACCUGAAGAAUAAGCAUCGGCUAACUC
rnacentral:rRNA from 1 species